rnacentral:rRNA from 1 species
CCUACGGGAGGCAGCAGUGAGGAAUAUUGGUCAAUGGGCGCGAGCCUGAACCAGCCAAGUAGCGUGAAGGAUGACUGCCCUACGGGUUGUCAACUUCUUUUAUAAAGGAAUAAAGUGAAGCACGUGUGCCUUUUUGUAUGUACUUUAUUAAUUAGGAUCGGCUAACUCCGUGCCAGCAGCCGCGGUAAGACGGAGGAUCCGAGCGUUAUCCGGAUUUAUUGGGUUUAAAGGAAGCGUAGGUGGGCUGUUAAGUCAGUUGUGAAAGUGUGCGGCUCAACCGUAAAAUUGCAAUUGAUACUGGCUGUCUUGAGUGCAGGUGAGGUAGGCGGAAUUCGUGGUGUAGCGGUGAAAUGCUUAGAUAUCACGAAGAACUCCGAUGGCGAAGGCAGCUUACUGGACUGCAACUGACGUUGAUGCUCGAAAGCGUGGGUAUCAAACAGGAUUAGAUACCCUUGUAGUC